rnacentral:rRNA from 1 species
AUACGUAGGUGGCAAGCGUUAUCCGGAAUUAUUGGGCGUAAAGGGAGCGUAGGCGGUUUAAUAAGUCUGAAGUUAAAGGCAGUGGCUCAACCAUUGUAUGCUUUGGAAACUGUUAGACUAGAGUGCAGAAGAGGCAAGUGGAAUUCCAUGUGUAGCGGUAAAAUGCGUAGAUAUAUGGAGGAACACCAGUGGCGAAGGCGGCUUGCUGGUCUGCAACUGACGCUGAGGCUCGAAAGCGUGGGGAGCAAAUAGGAUUAGAUACCCUGGUAGUCCACGCUGUAAACGAUGAAUACUAGGUGUGGGGGGACUGACCCCCUCCGUGCCGCAGUUAACACAAUAAGUAUUCCACCUGGGGAGUACGAUCGCAAGAUUGAAACUCAAAUGAAUUGGCGGGG